CUCGGCAAGAUGGCGGCCGCGGCCACCGGCCUGCGCCAAGCUGCUGCUGCGGCAGCCAGUACCUCGGUGAAGCCCAUUUUCAGUCGCGACCUGAACGAGGCCAAGCGGAGGGUGCGCGAGCUCUACCGCGCUUGGUAUCGGGAGGUGCCGAACACCGGUGAGAGGCAGGGGUGCAUUCGGGGCGCCGGAGGCACCUGCCCAAGGUCUCUCGGCCGAGCUGAGGUCACGUAGUGGGACAGAAACGAGCCCUGGGCUUCGGGGGAAGGGGGUCACCCGAGCCAGAGUGCCCCACACCGGGACAGGGCUUCCGAGCGCCCCAGUUGCUUUGGUGGCCUUUGUUCCUUAUUUCUUAUGGAGCCCCUGGGAGGGGCGUCCGCGGUCCUGAGCUAGCCCCGGGUGCUUCUUGAACCCAGCUUUACAGUUCCAGAGAAGGUUCUAGAUGCCCAUUCGAUUUUGUAACUAAAGUGGCGAAGGGCUUUAGCAGUUAUCUGUUACUUAGUCUGGAGAACAAACUGCAUCACGAGAGGGAAACGACUUGACGAAGGUCACCCAGUAGCUGCCUGCUGCCCUUUGAAGCCUCCAGACGAAAUGGCCCCUCAGAGCUCCCCAGCUUUGCUCACUAGAUCAGCUUGCCCCAGAAUUUUGAAGUCUAACCCCCUUCUGCUGCAAAACACGCCUUUUCCCGUAGGUGGGAGAAUCUAGUCUGUUCACCUGAGUGGCGAGUGUGAAUCUGCAAUCUUGGUUGUCUCCCUCAAUGCUGCCACUGUAGUGGAUUUUAAAAGGGGGUUAGCGAGAGUUCAAAUGUCCUACAUAUGUCAGGGACAUCUUUUGUUGUUGAGUAGACAUGUAUUUAACUUGAGCUGAUCUGAGGGGAAAGGCGUUUUCCAAUGAGUAACAACAGCUCCACAGCACGCCUCAGCACUGCUUGAGAGGCAGCCACACUGUCCUCAGUUUCGACCUUUAUUAGCUGUGUGACCUUGGGUAAGAUUUUUCACCGGUAUUUGCUCAUCUGUGAAAUGGCCAUAAUACUGUCUUCUUCCGGGAGUUACUGUAUUAAAUAGGUUACUUAAGUAACUGAUAUAAAACUCGGGGGAGGCACUGAUGGGAGAAGAUUCCUCUUAGUUAUUAGAACACAGACUGG
rnacentral:lncRNA from 1 species